AUUGAACGCUGGCGGCAGGCUUAACACAUGCAAGUCGAGCGGGGGAAGGUAGCUUGCUACCGGACCUAGCGGCGGACGGGUGAGUAAUGCUUAGGAAUCUGCCUAUUAGUGGGGGACAACAUCUCGAAAGGGAUGCUAAUACCGCAUACGUCCUACGAGAGAAAGCAGGGGAUCUUCGGACCUUGCGCUAAUAGAUGAGCCUAAGUCGGAUUAGCUAGUUGGUGGGGUAAAGGCCUACCAAGGCGACGAUCUGUAGCGGGUCUGAGAGGAUGAUCCGCCACACUGGGACUGAGACACGGCCCAGACUCCUACGGGAGGCAGCAGUGGGGAAUAUUGGACAAUGGGGGGAACCCUGAUCCAGCCAUGCCGCGUGUGUGAAGAAGGCCUUAUGGUUGUAAAGCACUUUAAGCGAGGAGGAGGCUACUUUAGUUAGUACCUAGAGAUAGUGGACGUUACUCGCAGAAUAAGCACCGGCUAACUCUGUGCCAGCAGCCGCAGUAA
rnacentral:rRNA from 1 species